GAUGAACGCUGGCGGCGUGCCUAAUACAUGCAAGUCGAGCGAACAGACGAGGAGCUUGCUCCUCUGACGUUAGCGGCGGACGGGUGAGUAACACGUGGAUAACCUACCUAUAAGACUGGGAUAACUUCGGGAAACCGGAGCUAAUACCGGAUAAUAUAUUGAACCGCAUGGUUCAAUAGUGAAAGACGGUUUUGCUGUCACUUAUAGAUGGAUCCGCGCCGCAUUAGCUAGUUGGUAAGGUAACGGCUUACCAAGGCAACGAUGCGUAGCCGACCUGAGAGGGGGAAUGGGCACAACUGAACCGAGACACCGGUCCGACUCCCACGGGAAGCAACAGUAGGGAAUCUUCCGCAAUGGGCGAAAGCCUGACGGAGCAACGCCGCGUGAGUGAUGAAGGUCUUUGGAUCGUAAAACUCUGUUAUUAGGGAAGAACAAAUGUGUAAGUAACUAUGCACGUCUUGACGGUACCUAAUCAGAAAGCCACGGCUAACUACGUG
rnacentral:rRNA from 1 species